AUGAGAACAGAGCCAACACAUUGGGCUAGGGCAUUUUUUUCCAUAGGAACUAACUGUGAAUCAGUAGAUAAUAAUCUUUGUGAGUCAUUCAACAAUGCCAUUAUAGAAUCAAGGUUCUAUCCAAUUAUUUCACAGCAAGAGAUGAUAAGAAAGAAGAUGCUUGUUAGGGUGCAGGAGCAGAGAGCCAAAGGGGCAAAUUGGAAGGGCAAAAUUUGCCCAAAUAUUUUCAGGAAACUCAAGGUAAGUAUUAGAUUGACAUAG
rnacentral:rRNA from 1 species